rnacentral:rRNA from 1 species
UGGAUCGGAGACAGGUGCUGCGAUGGCUGUCGUCAGCUCGUGUCGUGAGAUGUUGGUUAAGUCCGCAACGAGCGCAACCCUUAUUGCCAGUUACCAUUCAUUUAGUUGGGGACUCUGGCGAGACUGCCGUGGAUAACACGGAGGGAAGGUGGGACGACGUCAAAUCAUCAUGCCCCUUAUGUCCUGGGCUACACACGUACUACAAUGGCAACAACAACGAGCAGCAAGUCCGCGAGGCCAAGCGAAUCUCCAAAUGUUGUCCCAGUUCAGAUUGCAGGCUGCAACUCGCCUGCAUGAAGUCGGAAUUGCUAGUAAUGGCAGGUCAGCAUACUGCCGUGAAUACGUUCCCGGGCCUU